rnacentral:rRNA from 1 species
UUUAACAAAAACACAGAUCUCUGCAAACAUGUAAAUGGAUGUAUAGGGAUUGACACCUGCCCAGUGCUGGAAGGUUAAAAGGAGAGGUUAGCGUAAGCGAAGCUUCGAAUUUAAGCCCCAGUAAACGGCGGCCGUAACUAUGACGGUCCUAAGGUAGCGAAAUUCCUUGUCGGGUAAGUUCCGACCUGCACGAAUGGUGUAACGAUCCGGGCACUGUCUCGGGGAAGAACUCGGUGAAAUUGAAUUAUCAGUGAAGAUGCUGAUUACCCGCAACAGGACGGAAAGACCCCGUGAACCUUUACUAUAACUUGACAUUGAGUUUUGUUUUGUGAUGUGUAGAAUAGAUGGGAGGCUUUGAAGUGGGAGCGCCAGCUUUCAUGGAGCCAUCGUUGAAAUACCAUCCUUCGCAAAAUGGGAUUCUAACGAUUAGCCGUUAUCCGGCAGUCGGACAUUGUCAGGCGGGUAGUUUGACUGGGGCGGUCGCCUCCUAAAGAGUAACGGAGGCGUGCAAAGGUCACCUCAAACCGAAUAGAAAUCGGUAGUAGAGUAUAAAGGCAUAAGGUGGCUUAACUGCGAGAGAGACAUCUCGAGCAGGUGCGAAAGCAGGUCUUAGUGAUCCGGUGGUCCCGAGUGGAAGGGCCAUCGCUAAACGGACAAAAGGUACUCCGGGGAUAACAGGCUUAUCUCCCCCAAGAGUUCAUAUCGACGGGGAGGUUUGGCACCUCGAUGUCGGCUCAUCGCAUCCUGGGGCUGGAGCAGGUCCCAAGGGUUUGGCUGUUCGCCAAUUAAAGCGGUACGCGAGCUGGGUUCAGAACGUCGUGAGACAGUUUGGUCCCUAUCCGUUGCGGGCGUUGGAAAAUUGAGAAGAGUCAUUUUUAGUACGAGAGGACCGAAAUGAACGCACCUCUGGUGUAUCUGUUGUUCUGCCAAGGGCAUCGCAGAGUAGCUAUGUGCGGACGGGAUAACCGCUGAAAGCAUCUAAGUGGGAAGCCUCCUUCAAGAUUAAUUUUCCCUAUGAGUUUCGUUGGAGACUACGACGUUGAUAGACUGCAAGUGUAAGCAGGGAAGAAAUACCUGUUCAGCUGAGCAGCACUAAUCAGACCAAUGGCUUGACCAU